rnacentral:rRNA from 1 species
AUGCAGCGCAAGUGCAUUCUUAAGAUCACUAAUAAAUUGUGUUUUUUCUCCCGACAAUCCAAGACUAGAAUAAUACUGUACGUGCCUGUUAGUAUACAAGCAUCAGUAGACGUUUUCGAAAGCGCACGGCGUAUGCGACGAAACACAUCCGUGUCCACUGUCAAGAGCAAGGUGUCCUCGCAAAAAAAAAAAAAAAGAAGAAGAGCAAGGUGCGUCCUGCAUAACAGAGCGCCGUCACGCACCGGAGAUUUGACUGGUGAUUUUUAUACAGCAUGGACGGCUGCAAAGUUUCACCUUUUUCACAAUAGAAGAAAGAAAGGAAACCCACGGAAGAGAUUAAAAAGAAAAAAAAAAGUAGAAAGAAGAAUCUCAGGUCACGUGUAG